UGAAUGUGAAUACAUACCUCCUAACCCCUUCUGAUAUGGGACUUUUCAGUCCUGUUCAACUAAGGUAACGUCCACAUUAGAGUUUUUCUAUUCAUCAGGUCCAUACACCCAUACCCAGGGUACCCGAUAAGCCCUUCAGCAUACAUAUUUACAUCAUUCAUCAGCCACCAAUCACACGCAACCAACUCAUUCCAUAUUUAUAAAACAACAUAGUGAUAAUUACACAAGCAGUAUAA
rnacentral:lncRNA from 1 species